rnacentral:rRNA from 1 species
UACGGGGGGAGCAAGCGUUGUCCGGAUUUACUGGGCGUAAAGGGCGCGUAGGCGGCCACUGCAAGUCAGUUGUGAAAUCUCCGGGCUCAACCCGGGAACUGCGUCCGAUACUGGGAGGCUUGAAUCCGGGAGAGGGAUGUGGAAUUCCAGGUGUAGCGGUGAAAUGCGUAGAUAUCCGGAGGAACACCAGUGGCGAAAGCGGCCACCUGGACUGUACCUGACGCUCAAACGCGAAAGCUAGGGGAGCGAACGGG